rnacentral:lncRNA from 1 species
CCUAUGAAGAAGGAGCCCUGAUAAGAAAACAAAGACAAAUUAGAAUUCUUAAAAUACACACUGCUAUGCUGAUGUGGGAAGAUUUUUAUGAGAUGAGCAAUGCCUGGGGAAGCUCUGGAAGCGUAACCACACUGGGAUGGUGAAGGGGAAUUAGUCAAUGACUUUGGGUAACACCUGGAAUUUGACCUGCAGACUGGAAUACAGCUUCCUAUUAAAAUGUUUCAUUCUUAUAAGUCUUGUGUGCAUUUACGGCUUUAAGGAAGAAAUUCUCUCAGGCUUAAGACAUAAAUUAAAGCCAUAUAGUGUCAGUUUCAAUAAGAGCCUCUGUUUUUCAAAUUUUUUGACUUUCACUUAGAAAGACAACACUGUACUAGGAGGUUACUCUUUUUGAUCAGUCUCAACAUUUUUCUAGCUGUUCUCAACUCCCCUUCAAAAGUAUUUCCCACUAGAAUUACAUGAAUGUUGUGCCCCCAAGGUGAAUGCAGUGUUUGGAACAACAAAAUAUUGAUUUCCCAUUGUGUAACUUCCAUUUAAUUUAAACCAAAAUGCAAGAAGGGGAAAGGGUUGGUAGGAGAGUACGCUGAUAUAACCCUUUCCAGUGAUCCUUAAAAACUUCACACAUUUCCAGUGCUGAAUUUUGUUGACAGACACUU